UUGGAUGUCUGUCCAUUUUAUGGUCUCCUUCACAGUAGGCUCAUACAGGACAGGAACUCAGAACAUAAUUGUAAAAGAGAUGGAGCUACUGAGGACUGCACUUCUUGUUGUGUUUAUCACAACAGCAUUCACAAAACCGUUUGGCAGGCCUGGACACCACAAUGGCCAUAAAGCAUCAAAUUCAUUGCAAUGGUUGAAAUGGUAUGAGCGGGGCCACUCUUCUGAGGAUGUCAUCAGACACAGAAAUGAAAGAGGCCUUGAAUCACCAAAGUUAUUUGAUUCUUCAGAAUCAAUGGAGUCUUCCUCGGAAUCCAAUGAAUCUUCAGAAUCCAACCAGUCCUCGGAAUCCAACGAGUCCUCAGAAUCUGAUCAAUCAAGUUCAGAGGAGAUCUUCCCUGAGAGGACGACAGCUGUACCAACUGCUUCAACCACAGUGAACCCACCCACUGCUGCCAUGUCAACUAUCCCACCAGUGACAGAAAUGUCCACGAAUGGGCCAAUCAUCAAUGAAACAACACCUUCACCAGGGGACAUUACUGCAUGUGUCACUGAGGACAUUAUAACUCCCACUCCAGCGACUCCCCCUCCAGAAACUCCCCCUCCAGUCACAGAGAACAGAGGAGACAGUCUUUAAAUGUUUAUACAUAUUAGUCAGAAUUCAAACAAAAUUAUUCCAAAGAAUUUAUAUCAUUGUUUGUUUUAUGGACCAUUUACUUGAAGAAUAUAUUUAAACCUUUGAAUGCAUUUAUAGCUUUUGUUAUCAGCUUCAGAAUAGUACUAUAGGUAAAUUCCCAAAUGGAAAAGGAUAAUGAAAAACAAAUAAGAAUCUUGUAUGGCAAAAUAAGAUUUUUUAUCUGGUAAGAUUUUGUAUGUUUUGUCAGUAUAUGUCAGUAGUGUAUUUGUAUGUCUUAACUUAUAUUACUAAUAUGACAUACACAAUUCACUACAUGAUUGUGGUGAAUUUUCUACAUCAGGGGUCUCCAACCUUUUCUAGUAUGAGAGCAACUUUCUUUUAUAGCUUUCAAAUAGGCACAUUCUUCUCUUUUCCUCCACCCUGCAAUUCUUUCCUAGGUCCUUGGUGUACAACAUAUGUUUUCUGUCAAUAUACCAGGUAAAAGAAUGGUUAAUAAACAACUCUAAAGGAGCUCCAUAAAAUGCUA